UACGUAGGUGGCAAGCGUUGUCCGGAUUUAUUGGGUUUAAAGGGUGCGUAGGCGGUUUUUUAAGUCAGUGGUGAAAUACUUCAGCUUAACUGGAGAGGUGCCAUUGAUACUGGGAAACUUGAGUACUGAUGAGGUAGGCGGAAUGGACGGUGUAGCGGUGAAAUGCUUAGAUAUCGCCCAGAACACCGAUAGCGAAGGCAGCUUACUAAGGAGUAACUGACGCUGAGGCACGAAAGUGUGGGGAUCAAACAGG
rnacentral:rRNA from 1 species